rnacentral:rRNA from 2 species
GACUCUCGACAAAGGAUAUCUCGACACUCGCAUCAAUGAAGAACGUAACGAAAUGCGAUACUUCGUGUGAAUUGCAAGGAUUCGGAGAUCCAAAUUUCAGAUCCUGGUCUGAAUCCUAGGCCUAGGGCGUUACAUAUCCCAAUGCUUGUAUGUAGACGUUGGGAUAAGUGCAA